rnacentral:rRNA from 1 species
GACGAACGCUGGCGGCGUGCUUAACACAUGCAAGUCGAACGGAAAGGCGCUGCUUUUGUGGGGUGCUCGAGUGGCGAAGGGGUGAGUAACACGUGAGUAACAUGCACUUGACUUUGGGAUAACUUCUGGAAAAUGGGGCUAAUACCGGAUAGGAGCUACUGAAGCAUGGGGGGGGUUGGAAAGAUUCGGCGGUUGGGGCUGGACUCGCGGCUUAUCAGCUUGAUGGGGGGGUAGUGGCUGACAAGGGUUUUGAAGGGUAGGCGGCCUUGGAGCGUGACCGGCCACAUGGGGACUACGAUACGGCCCAGACUCCUACGUGCGGCAGCAGUGGGGAACAUGGCGCAACGGGCGGAAGCCUGAUGCAGCAACGCCGCGUGCGUGAUGACGUCCUUCGAGUGGUAAACCGCUUUCGCCGUAGACGAAGCGUGAGUGACGGUAAUGGGUAAAGAAGCACCGGCUAACUACGUG